AUUGAACGCUGGCGGCAUGCUUUACACAUGCAAGUCGAACGGUAACAGGCCGCAAGGUGCUGACGAGUGGCGAACGGGUGAGUAAUGCAUCGGAACGUGCCCAGUCGUGGGGGAUAACGCAGCGAAAGUUGCGCUAAUACCGCAUACGAUCUAUGGAUGAAAGCGGGGGACCGUAAGGCCUCGCGCGAUUGGAGCGGCCGAUGUCAGAUUAGGUAGUUGGUGGGGUAAAGGCUCACCAAGCCGACGAUCUGUAGCUGGUCUGAGAGGACGACCAGCCACACUGGGACUGAGACACGGCCCAGACUCCUACGGGCGGCAGCAGUGGGGAAUGUUGGACAAUGGGCGCAAGCCUGCUCCAGCAAUGCCGCGUGCAGGAAGAAGGCCUUCGGGUUGUAAACUGCUUUUGUACGGAACGAAACGGUCCUGGUUAAUACCCGGGGCUAAUGACGGUACCGUAAGAAUAAGCACCGGCUAACUACGUGCCAGCAGCCGCGGUAA
rnacentral:rRNA from 1 species